UUGAGUGGGUUGAGUCACUGACGUGAUCUUCCUGUCUAGGUUGGUGCCCCCCCUUGGGUUGUGCCGUGGCGGAGAUCUUUGUGGGCUAUACUCGGCCUUGUCUCAGGAUGGUAAGUUGGUGGUUGAAGAUAUCCCUUUAGUGGUGUGGGGGCUGUGCUUUGGCAAAGUGUGUGGGAUUAUAUCCUGCCUGUUUGGCCCUGUCCGGGGGUAUCAUCAAAUGGGGCCACAGUGUCUCCUGACCCCUCCUGUCUCAGCCUCCAGUAUUUAUGCUGCAGUAGUUUAUGUGUUGGGGGGGCUAGGGUCAGUCUGUCAUAUCUGGAGUAUUUCUCCAGUGUCCUGUGUGACUUUAAGUAUGCUCUCUCUAAUUCUUUCCUUCUCUCUCUCUCUCUCUCUCUCUCUCUGUCUCUCUCUCUCUCUCUCUCUCUUGGGGGACCUGAGCCCUAGAACCAUGCCUCAGGACUACCUGACAUGACGACUCCUUGCUGUCCCAAGUCCACCUGGCCGUGCUGCUGCUCCAGUUUCAACUGUUCUGCCUGCGGCUAUGGAACCCUGACCUGUUCACUGGAUGUGUUACCUGUCCCAGACCUGCUGUUUUCAACUCUCUAGAGACAGCAGGAGCGGUAGAGAUACUCUCAAUGAUCAGCUAUGAAAAGCCAACUGACAUUUACUCCUGAGGUGCUGACUUGUUGCACCCUCGACAACUACUGUGAUUAUUAUUAUUUGCCCAUGCUGGUCAUUUAUGAACAUUUGAACAUCUUGGCCAUGUUCUGUUAUAAUCUCCACCUGGCACAGCCAUAAGAGGACUGGCCACCCCUCAUAGCCUGGUUCUUCUCUCGGUUUCUUCCUAGGUUCUGGCCUUUCUAUGGAGUUUUUCAUAGCCACCAUGCUUCUACACCUGCAUUGCUUGCUGUUUGGGGUUUUAUGCUGGGUUUCUGUACAGCACUUUGAGAUAUUAGCUGAUGUACGAAGGGCUAUAUAAAUACAUCUUAUUUGAUUUUUGCCAAGGAAAGUGUAAAGGACUGAGGGAAAUUAAAAUGGAAAAUACAUAGAAAGGAACAUGGAAGAACCUCAAAGAACAUUGAAUGUUCAAGAUUAUGUAGCAUCAAACAUAACAUCAAAAUGCAUCUUAUAUUCCUGCUCUGACAGAAAAACCACAUGAUUCCAACUUACAUUUUAUGUGAAAUCAUGUGAAAACAUGUUUUGGAACACAACGUGAUCACAGUUUCACAUGUGUAGUUUAAUGUAAUCACAUGUUGCUUUAAACGUUAUCAUAUUAUCUUCACAUAAGAUUACAUGAAAACAUGUUUUUGGAACACUUCCCGUGUUCACGUGAAAUGUAUCUGUUUUUUGCAUAUCUGACUGGAUAGGAUGGGUGAUUCAGCAAAGGACAGAGCAAAGCUGACCAGCAGCCAACAGGAGAUGUGUGUCCCUGACAAGCAGGCCACCAAACGCCCCUGCAGUUCAACACUCAAGGAUCUUAAUAAUGCUUUAAAAUGCACAUGUACGAUUGUGCAUGUGUAAUGGGUUGAAAACAAUGUCACUUAAAACGGACACAGAUUUAUUAUUUAUUCCCCCCCCCCCAAUUUGUUUAUGUAUUUGUCUUAAUGAAUCUAAAUGGUAUUUUCUACAUACUUUCACGUUAGCAGUCCAUCAGGCCAAUAGAUGGCGCUGUUGCACUGUUGUAACAGGAGAAACAGCAAGUUCUGGUCAAGCGCUCAAGGACCAGAACUUUAUAGAGGUAAACUGUGUCUGUUCGUUUUACUAUUACAGCAGUUCAUCGUGGCCCUGUUGUUUGCCUCCUUCACCAAAGCUCUGUCAGAGACCUACAUGAAGAGUGCCAUCACUCAGAGAGACACUUUGACCUGUCCAGCUCUCUCAUCGGACUCAUAGACGGCAGCUUUGAGAUGGGUAACCUGCUGUUCCUGGCUGUGGUCUGUCAUUUUGGGGCGAAGCUGCACCGGCCCAGGCUCAUUGCUAUGGGCUGUUUCAUCAUGGCUGUAGAAUCCUUCCUCACAUGCCUGCCACACUUCUUCAUGGGACGGUAAAAACAACUGAAAUACUGGUUAAACUUGUACUUUUAGAGAUACUCUAUUGCGGAGGAUAGUUUCACUUUAGAAAUAAAGAAAUGUCGAUUAAUCUCAGUUAAUUUAGAACUAAAGUUUUGCGUAAUUGGUCAGCUGCUUGAUUAUGUUUUGGGGCCAUACAUGUUAAGAGAAGGGAUUAAGAGAUGCUUUAACGGUGAUGUGGUAAAGCUGGACCCAGGUGCAGAGAAGAGACCAGAAGAUGAAGCAGUGGUUCCAACCAGUGUCUCCACCCCUCAAGGGCCCACUUAACUGCCAAGAGCUCCCGGUUAGCUACAUCGUAGUUGCCUUCCGGUGGUCAAGAACCGCUUGGAGAGAAAGGCGCAUAGGUGAAGUUUCUUGUCCUCCUCGUUCUGCUGUGAAAGGACCGCCCCAGCUCCGGUAUCCGAGAUGUCCACCUCUACCACAAAGGGGCAAGU